rnacentral:rRNA from 1 species
AGAUUGAACGCUGGCGGCAUGCCUUACACAUGCAAGUCGAACGGCAGCACGGGAGCAAUCCUGGUGGCGAGUGGCGAACGGGUGAGUAAUAUAUCGGAACGUGCCCAGUCGUGGGGGAUAACGCAGCGAAAGCUGUGCUAAUACCGCAUACGAUCUAUGGAUGAAAGCGGGGGAUCGCAAGACCUCGCGCGAUUGGAGCGGCCGAUAUCAGAUUAGCUAGUUGGUGGGGUAAAAGCCUACCAAGGCGACGAUCUGUAGCUGGUCUGAGAGGACGACCAGCCACACUGGAACUGAGACACGGUCCAGACUCCUACGGGAGCAGCAGUGGGGAAUUUUGGACAAUGGGCGCAAGCCUGAUCCAGCAAUGCCGCGUGCCA